CAAAGGCUUGGUCCUGACUUUCCUAUCAGUUCUUACUAAAUUUAUACAUGCAAGUAUCCGCACCCCCGUGAGAAUGCCCUCAUUACCCCGACUGGGAUUGAGGAGCCGGUAUCAGGCACGCACCUGCAGCCCAAGACGCCUUGCUUAGCCACACCCCCAAGGGAACUCAGCAGUAAUAAACAUUAAGCCAUAAGUGAAAACUUGACUUAGUUAAAGUAAAUACCGGGCCGGUAAAACUCGUGCCAGCCACCGCGGUUAUACGAGAGGCCCAAGUUGAUAGGCCCCGGCGUAAAGAGUGGUUAAGGAUACCUCUUACUAAAGCCGAAAUCCGCCAAAGCUGUUAUACGCACCCGGCAGGUUUGAAGAACCACUACGAAGGUGGCUUUAAUUCCCCUGAACCCACGAAAGCUACGUCACAAACUGGGAUUAGAUACCCCACUAUGCCUAGCCCUAAACAUUGGUAGCACCUUACUACGCUGCCCGCCUGGGAACUACGAGCAUUAGCUUAAAACCCAAAGGACUUGGCGGUGCUUUAGACCCACCUAGAGGAGCCUGUUCUAGAACCGAUAAUCCCCGUUCAACCUCACCACCCCUUGUUUUACCCGCCUAUAUACCGCCGUCGUCAGCUUACCCUGUGAAGGACUUAUAGUAAGCAAAAUUGUUAAAACCCAAAACGUCAGGUCGAGGUGUAGCGCAUGAGGUGGGAAGAAAUGGGCUACAUUCCCUACUACAGGGAACACGGAAGCUGUAUUGAAAUCUACACCCGAAGGAGGAUUUAGCAGUAAGGAGAAAAUAGAGCGUUCCCCUGAAACUGGCCCUGAAGCGCGCACACACCGCCCGUCACUCUCCCCAAGCCUAACCGCAUCAAGUAAUUAACCAACUUUUUCCUGCAAAGGGGAGGCAAGUCGUAACAUGGUAAGUGUACCGGAAGGUGUGCUUGGAAAAAC
rnacentral:ncRNA from 1 species